GUUGCUUCAUAAUGGUGAACUUCUUCAAUCAUAGUGAAGAAUGUUUCAAGUUUCCGGAGCAUAGAUUAAUAUAAUUUUAUUAUUUAUAACCAGGAUUAAACAGCAUUGUGUUUUUAUUCUAAAUUGCACCUUGUUACCUGUCUCCUGGUACAUUA